rnacentral:RNase_P_RNA from 1 species
CGUGCAGGCCGGGUGAUCGCGGGUCUCUCUGUCGUUCCGACAGAGAUGGCUCGAGGAAAGUCCGGACACCGCAGGGCAGGACGCUGGAAAGUCCCUCGGGGCAAUCCAGGCGGCGAAAGCCGACGGAAAGUGGAACAGAAAGGAGACCGCCGGCCGAUUUGUGCACGAUUAGGCCGGUAAGGGUGAAACGGUGGGGUAAGAGCCCACCAGCGG